GGAUUAGAUACCCUGGUAGUCCACGCCGUAAACGAUGUGCACUAGAUCGAGGAGGUUCUGACACCAUUCUUGGUCGAAGCGAAAGUGUUAAGUGCACCGCCUGGGGAGUACGGUCGCAAGGCUAAAACUCAAAGGAAUUGACGGGGGCUCACACAAGCGGUGGAGCAUGUGGCUUAAUUCGAAGCAACGCGAAGAACCUUAUCCUGGGUUUGACAUGCACGGAUUAGCUUCCUGAAAGGGAAGUAACGCCUUCGGGUGGAACGUGCACAGGCGCUGCAUGGCUGUCGUCAGCUCGUGUUG
rnacentral:rRNA from 1 species